rnacentral:rRNA from 1 species
GUAACACGUGGGCAACCUGCCUGUAAGUUGGGGAUAACUCCGGGAAACCGGGGCUAAUACCGAAUGAUAGAGUGUGGCGCAUGCCACGCUCUUGAAAGAUGGUUUCGGCUAUCGCUUACAGAUGGGCCCGCGGUGCAUUAGCUAGUUGGUAGGGUAAUGGCCUACCAAGGCAACGAUGCAUAGCCGACCUGAGAGGGUGAUCGGCCACACUGGGACUGAGACACGGCCCAGACUCCUACGGGAGGCAGCAGUAGGGAAUCUUCCGCAAUGGACGAAAGUCUGACGGAGCAACGCCGCGUGUAUGAAGAAGGUUUUCGGAUCGUAAAGUACUGUUGUUAGAGAAGAACAAGGAUAAGAGUAACUGCUUGUCCCUUGACGGUAUCUAACCAGAAAGCCACGGCUAACUACGUGCCAGCAGCCGCGGUAAUACGUAGGUGGCAAGCGUUGUCCGGAUUUAUUGGGCGUAAAGCGCGCGCAGGCGGUCUUUUAAGUCUGAUGUGAAAGCCCCCGGCUUAACCGGGGAGGGUCAUUGGAAACUGGAAGACUGGA